CUUGAAACAAGUGCACAGAGAGAAUGUGAGUAUGUGACUGUUGUGUAGUGGAAAGGCUAUCCGCAGACUGCAGCGGUGAGAUAGAGAGAGAGAGAGGUUAACUGGCGGCGUUUCCGAUACAUUCUGUGGGUUGCGUUGCAGUUGCAGUUACCGGCGGCGACGGCCAUGGAAGCCACCCAUUUCACUUCCUCUUCUUUUGUCUCUCAACACCAUGGCUCUACCAGAAGAAGACCCUUCGUAUUCAACCGCAACCAUAUCUGUUACGGUUAUUGCCCUCGCUUUCUGCGCCAAGCGCAAAGCCUCUCAUCGCCUCUCAUAACCCUUCGCGCCAAACACUCUUCCCUCACCUCCGAACAACAACACCAGCAAAACGCCGACGAGGAUCAUCAGCUCCACCCCAACCCCUCCGUUAAGUUGCCGCUCGAUCAAAAUGGAAAACUCCCGGAUGUGGAUGUCAAACGAGAGCUUCUAUUGUUGUCUCUGCCUGCCCUUGCCGGUCAGGCGAUUGACCCCUUGUCGCAGUUGAUGGAAACCGCCUACAUUGGUCGACUCGGCACUGUCGAAUUGGCUUCUGCGGGCGUUUCCGUAUCCAUCUUUAACAUCAUUUCUAAGCUUUUUAACAUUCCCCUUCUCAGCGUUGCCACUUCCUUUGUUGCCGAGGACAUGGCCAAGGCUGCCUCUACUCAGCAUUCUGAUUCAGAUCAGGGUGCUACAGAAAAUACUGGCAAUGGUAAACCUUUCAAAGCAGUUCCCCAGAGAAAACAGCUAUCCUCUGUCUCCACUGCUUUGCUUUUAGCACUCGGCCUUGGCAUUUUUGAGGCUUUGGCUUUGUCCCUGGGAUCUGGAGCAUUUCUAAAUUUAAUCGGUGUAUCAACGCAAAAUCCAACUUAUGCUCCUGCACGGCACUUUCUCUCUUUAAGAGCUGUUGGUGCUCCUGCAGUUGUACUUUCUUUGGCUCUUCAAGGCAUUUUCCGUGGUUUUAAGGAUACGAAAACUCCUGUUAUAUGUCUAGGCAUUGGCAACUUUUCAUCUGUCUUCUUAUUUCCCUUACUCAUGUAUUACUUUCGGUUGGGUGUAACUGGUGCAGCCAUUUCCACUGUUAUUUCUCAAUAUAUUGGGGCCAUUCUGAUGAUCUGGUGUCUGAAUGAACGAGCCGAGUUACUACCUCCAAGGAUGGGAAACCUGCAAUUUGGCAGUUAUAUUAAAUCUGGUGGUUACCUUCUUGGAAGAACACUUGCUGUUCUUUCAACCAUUACAUUGGGGACAUCAAUGGCUGCUCGACAUGGUCCAGUAGCUAUGGCUGCACAUCAGAUAUGUAUGCAAGUGUGGUUGGCUGUUUCCCUUCUUACAGAUGCCUUGGCUGCAUCUGGUCAGGCCCUUGUUGCAAGUUCUGUAUCCAGACAUGAAUACAAAGUUGUGAAGGAGAUUACUAGUUUUGUAUUAAGGAUUGGACUGGUAAUGGGUAUUUGCUUGACUGCAAUUCUGGGUGCAUCGUUUGGAUCUCUAGCUACCAUUUUUACUCAGGAUUCUGAAGUCUUGCAGGUGGUGAGAUCAUUAGUGUUGUUUGUCAGUGUUUCUCAACCAUUUAAUGCACUGGCAUAUAUUUUUGACGGUCUCCAUUAUGGUGUUUCUGAUUUCCGAUAUGCUGCUUUCUCCAUGAUGUUUGUGGGAGCAGUCUCCUCUGCAUUCUUGUUGUUUGCACCUCCACUUUUUGGCCUCCAGGGCGUAUGGCUAGGCUUAGUUCUCUUCAUGGCUCUUCGUUCAGUAGCUGGCGCUGUCAGAUGUCUCUCAAAGAAUGGUCCUUGGUGGUUUCUACACAGGGAUUUACAAAUAGUAUAGAGAAAAAAAUUUCCUUGAUGGAGUGUAUUAAAAGCUAGUACAACAAAGUGUGAGCAAGCUAGUAUUGUUUUCGGGAUGUAUGUUAAGGACUUCGUCAUUCCACAAGUUGUGUGGUUCAAGAUUAUUGGAUCUAGCUUUCAAAGUUAUGAAAAGUUGCAGAGGUUGAAAGUAAAUUGCAAAGUGUACGAGGAUGUCGAUAUAGCCUAUUGUUCCGUUUCAUAAUGUCACCGGAAAGAGCGAAAGAUAAUAUUAGACAGCAUGAUCCUGGCAGUAUGCCCAUUUAUGAAGCGUUAAAUUUUGCAUCUUUGCGGUCUCAUAAAUGGAGGAUGUGGAUGAAACACUAGAUUUGACAUUUGAAGACUAAUUUUUCCGUCAGUGACUUGGUCUUUUUCGUCGUUCCCGUGUAGAGAUAGGCAAUUUUAGAAUCAUUUUCUAGGUUAUCGCUAUGAAAUUAGUCAUAAAUAUAUAUAUGAAAACUCUCUGUUAAGCACAUUUUUCACAAUCUUUUUUA